rnacentral:lncRNA from 1 species
AACAGAACUACUCUUAUGCUUCCUGUUUAUUUAGACUGCCUCCAUGAGACACUGAUGAUUAUAGAGUUCAGAGGGGACACAAGUAUUACCUCCCCGUAUUAGAAGAGAUUGCGUCAACUGUGGGACUCAUACUUCAUCAGGAUGCUCAUGCUUCGUUGCCUCUGCCCCUCUGAUUGGAGGAUCGAAGGUCAAGGCAAAAUCUUCCCAAAGCCUAUAUUUAAAGACGGUUCAGAAGCCCAGCCAACUCUUCGUUUCCCACCAGCUGCACUGCUUGGUUUUGACUCUACCAUCAUCACCACACUCCCUUGCCAGAUACCCCAACCUACAGCAACCACCACCCUGAUGAGUCAGCAGCAUCACCAUCGAGGCAAGACCCUCUACUGGCAAAAAGAUUGCAGCUCACUGAAGGCUCAGAUGAUGG